rnacentral:rRNA from 1 species
AUUGAACGCUGGCGGCAGGCCUAACACAUGCAAGUCGGGCGAGAGGCGGCCGGGUGAGUAAUGUAUGGGGAUCUGCAUGAUGGAGGGGGCAAACUGAUGGAAACGGUAGCUAAUACCGCAUAACGUCAGGUGAACCGCUCUAGGAUUGGCUUGUAGGUGAGGUAACGGCUCACAUAGGCGACGAUCCCUAGCUGGUCUGAGAGGAUGAUCAGCCACACUGGGACUGAGAAACGGCCCAGACUCCUACGGGAGGCAGCAGGGGGGAAUAUUGCACAAUGGGCGCAAGCCUGAUGCAGCCAUGCCGCGUGUAUGAAGAAGGCCUUCGGGUUGUAAAGUACUUUCAGUCGGGAGGCGUUACCGACAGAAGAAGCACCGGCUAACUCCGUGCCAGCAGCCGCGGUAAUAC